rnacentral:rRNA from 1 species
GUGGGGAAUCUUGCGCAAUGGGCGAAAGCCUGACGCAGCAACGCCGCGUGAGGGAAGAAGGCUUUCGGGUUGUAAACCUCUUUCAGGAGGGACGAAGCUUCCGAGGUUAAUAGCCUACGGGGUGACGGUACCUCCAGAAGAAGCCCCGGCUAACUACGUGCCAGCAGCCGCGGUAAUACGUAGGGGGCAAGCGUUGUCCGGAAUCAUUGGGCGUAAAGCGCGUGUAGGUGGCUUGGUAAGUCCGGUGUGAAACCCUGGGGCUCAACCCCAGGCCUGCACCGGAUACUGCCUCGCUCGAGUUCGGGAGGGGAGAGCGGAAUUCCUAGUGUAGCGGUGAAAUGCGCAGAUAUUAGGAAGAACACCGGUGGCGAAGGCGGCUCUCUGGAACGAUACUGACACUGAGACGCGAAAGCGUGGGUAGCGAACAGGAUUAGAUACCCUGGUAGUCC